UACGAAGGGGGCUAGCGUUGCUCGGAAUCACUGGGCGUAAAGCGCACGUAGGCGGAUUGCUAAGUCAGGGGUGAAAUCCUGGAGCUCAACUCCAGAACUGCCUUUGAUACUGGCGACCUUGAGUCCGGGAGAGGUGAGUGGAACUGCGAGUGUAGAGGUGAAAUUCGUAGAUAUUAGGAAGAACACCAGUGGCGAAGGCGGCUCACUGGUCCGGUACUGACGCUGAGGUGCGAAAGCGUGGGGAGCAAACAGG
rnacentral:rRNA from 1 species